rnacentral:snRNA from 1 species
GGAUAUGAAGGCAAUCUGGCUGUGACAUCUGUCACCUCAUUGAUCACCAGGAUUGAUUCGGCUGAUCUGGCUGGAUAGGCAGGUAUCCCCUUCCUCCCUCACUGCUCCAUGUAUGUCCCUUCUGAGGUUUCCAGCUUGGUCAAAGAGGACGACCACCCCUGAUAGAGGAGUAUCAUUUUUGGGUUUUUUUGGGUUUUUUUAGUCAAGGUUAUAGGAGUAGCUGUGCUCCCACGCUAGAACCUGCAAACAAGGUCUCAAAAACUCCUUCAAUAAAUAUUUGUUGAACAGGGGCUGGGGAUUUAGCUCAGUGGUGCUAUGCUUGUCUUGUAAGCACAAGGUCCUGA